UUUUAUUUUACCAUUUGCGUUUUUAUAUAUACACUAAAGUAAAUUUUUUUUUUUAAAAAAAUUAAAACGCAGAAAAUCAUUAAAUUCUGCUACAUAUGUAUUUAAAAUAUACAUAUACAAACGCUAUGAGAAACUAAAAAAAAAAAAAAAAAAAAAAAAAAAAAUAGUUCUUUUUUUUUUUUUUUACUAUUUUAUUUUAUUUUUUUUAAUAUUGCAUUUUUCCAGAUAUAUAAAAAAAUAAUUUACAGAACAAUAGUUAAACAAACAUAUAUAUAUAUAUAUAUAUAUAUAUUAAAAAACUAAUUAACAAAUAAUAUUCAGUAGUGUCUGACCAAGUAAAAAAUAUUAUUAAGCAAUAUUCGGCUAAUUAAAAAAAUAUUAUUAAGUGAUAUUAGACUAAUUAAAAAAUAUUAUCAAGCGCUAUAAAUAUAUUGUUUUGAUUUCAUUUUAGUAUAUUGCCUACAUAUGUACAUAUACAUAUAUACAUACCUUUUUUUUUAAACACACAUAUAUUCCCAUGUUGAUCCCUGAAAAUUAUAUUUUUUUAAUGACAAUACUGAUAAAAAUAACAUAUUUAAUAAAAACAACACAAUGAAUAACAAUAAUACGAAUAACUCAAAUAUGUGGAAUAUCCCCAACAAUAAUUUAAAUAAUAACAAUUUUUUUAGUAAUACUUUACCAAACCAAAAUGACCUGAACAAAAAUAAUUGUAACAUUUUUAAUAAUUCCUUAACUAAUGACAAUAACUUAAACAAAACUGGCAAUAAUAUUUUUUCUAACACGUUACCCAACCAAAAUGAUUUCAACAAAAAUAGUGGUAGCCUUUUCGGUGGUGCUUUAUCUGGACAAUCCAACUUAAACAAAAAUGGUACGAACAAUUUUUUCAAUAGUACUUUACCCAGUCAAAGUGACAUGAACAAAAACAAUUGCAACCUUUUUAGUAAUUCAUUAACUAACCAAAACAAUUUAAACAAAACAGGUGGUAGUCUUUUUGCAAACAAUAUAACUAAUCAAAACAACCUGAAUAAAGAUAGUGGUAGCCUUUUUAAUAAUAGUAUUACAUAUCAAACAAAUAUGAUGAAACCUAACAAUUUUUUUGGAAACAAUAUAAACAAUACUCAAAAUGAUAUGAACAAAAAUAAUACCUCUCUUUUUUCCAAUACUAUGAACACACAAAAUAAUUUAAAUAAAAAUAAUUCUUUUUUUUUUAAUAAUCCAAAUGAUGCUAACAAAAGUGGAAAUAGUCUUUUUGGUAAUAUAGCUUCGAAUACUUCAACACAGUCUACAACACCUAAUGCUUUCAACCCGAAUUUAUUCAGUGCAGCCAAAAAGGAUAUUUAUCCAGGAUUCACACGGACAUUAGGUAGUAAUAAUUCGACAAACACUGGUACUAAUAUGUUCAAACAAAGUACAUUAGGAAGUUCCAUAGCGUUAGGAAGUCAACUAAAUGAAGAUAGAAGUGCAGAUGGUGGUGGUUUAUUUUCAAAAGAACAAUUGGAGGCAGCCAAACAAAUUUUUGCUAAUUCAUCAGCUACAUCUACAUCACUAUCAGGUUUUGGAAAUAACACAAGUACAAUGAAUAAUAAUAACAGUACUUUAAAUAACAACAAUAACAAUAAUAAUAAUAUAAACAAAUUAACAUCGUUUAGUGGUGGUUUUUCAAAUGCAAGUGCUUUUGCAAAAAAUAAUAUAAACCCAUUUCAAAGUAUGGCAUUAAAAACAAAUACACAAGAUAAACUACCAACAUCAAAAGUACCAUCAUCAUCUUCAUCUCUUUUAAAUAGUUCAAUGUCGAAAUCUUUUCUUACAAGUGGUAAUAAUGAAAAUAAAUUGAAUCCUUUUGGUAUGCCUAGUAUGAACACUUUGGGUUCUUCUUCAGGUAAUAAAUUUGGAACUACAU
ensembl:lncRNA